GAGACUUUCAAAGCCCCAUUAGCAGUGUGCUGACUGCAGCUUUACAUCUGUGCUAGCCCAGUGCAGGGGAGGGGAGUGCUGGGCUCUCUACCCUGAACCCCAACAAACAAACCGACUGACCAAAGCCAGCUUCCUUCCCAUCAACCCAAUUUGAGCUCCUUAGAAAAGUGACCUCAUCUCUUCAACCAAGGGCCAAGCGUGUUGCAAAACAGACUCUCAAUCAAUGUUUAUGGAACCGAUGAAACGCCUGGAGGUGGUCAUCUGCUAAAAGGAACUGCAGUGCCAGAUUAUGAGAUGGCUCCCAAUCCUUCAUGAGUCGGUAAUACACAGCUAUGAGGUGGAUGAAUGACAGACAUGGAGAGGGACAUUCUAACCAGGAGCUGCUGCCACUGCCAAAGGCCUCAACAGAAGAAAGACCUCAACAGAAGAAUGUAAAGCUGCCCCUCCUCCCACCAGAGGCAGGAGGUCUGUGUGGUGCAAGAGUCCUAAUUGAUGCUCAUCGCUGAUUUGUGCUAUACACAGAGACCUGAAAUUAUCGAGUUACUUGAAAGUGUGAGCAUGCAAGACAAGCAAGAAGGUCCUUGGGAAGGGUCCCAACACCAAAUGCCACCUAGUUAGGUGUCAGGCGGUGGCACCCAAAGACAGCAGAUCUGUUAUUGGCUCACCAACAUAUUAAAUGAAACCUCAUAUUUUGAAAGUAUCCUUCGGUGGGGGUGGGGGAGCAAGGGUGACGACAGGCCUUCAAUCACAUCCGUGAAAAGUCUGGUGACAACCCCCAGCUUCUGAGAAUCGCAACUUGAGUCAAAGAGAACCUGUAAUGUUAAGGAAAUCUGAUUGCUGCUGAAUAAAUAAAUGAGAUGUUAACACCA
rnacentral:sRNA from 1 species